rnacentral:tRNA from 1 species
UCCUCCGUGGCGCAAUUGGCUAGCGCGUUCGACUGUUAUAUCACAGAACAUCGAGAGGUUGACAGUUCAAGCCUGUCCGGGGGAG